CAAUAGCGUAUAUUAAAGUUGUUGCAGUUAAAAAGCUCGUAGUUGGACUUCUGCGGGUGGCGGCCGGUCGUGCUCGAAACGGGCGUGAACUUGGCGUGCUGCCCGCAUCUUUGGGGAGAUUGUGCGUGGCAUUAAGUUGUCGUGCAUGGGAUUCUCAUCAUUUACUGUGAAAAAAUUAGAGUGUUUAAAGCAGGCCUUUGCCUCGAAUACAUUAGCAUGGAAUAAUAAGAUAGGACCGUUGUCUAUUUUGUUGGUUUACAGAUGUCGGUAAUGAUUAAUAGGGAUAGUUGGGGGUAUUCGUAUUCAGUUGUCAGAGGUGAAAUUCUUGGAUUUUCGGAAGACGCACGACUGCGAAAGCAUUUACCAAGGAUGUUUUCAUUAA
rnacentral:rRNA from 1 species